rnacentral:piRNA from 1 species
UGAAGAUAAGAAACACACACCAUGAGC